rnacentral:rRNA from 1 species
GGUCAACCUGCCCUUAGGUAAGGGAUAAUCUCGGGAAACUGAGGAUAAUACCUUAUAGGAAAUAGGAUCUGGAACGCCCUGUUUCUCAAAGUUUCGGCGCCUAAGGAUGGGACUGCGGCUGAUUAGGUAGUUGGUGGUGUAAAGGACCACCAAGCCUGUGAUCAGUACGGGCCAUGAGAGUGGUAGCCCGGAGAGGGGGACUGAGACAAGGCCCCCAGCCCUACGGGGUGCAGCAGUUACGAAACCUUUACAAUGCGCGCAAGCGUGAUAAGGGGAUCCCAAGUGCCAUAGUCUUACUAUGGCUGUGGAGAAGUGUAAAUUACUUUUCAAGAAAGGGGUGGGUAAUACCGGUGCCAGCAGCCGCGGUAAUCCCGGAGCCCCAAGUGGUGACCGCUAUUAUUGGGCCUAAAGCGCUCGUAGCCGGACUAAUAAGUUCUCGGUGAAAUUGUUAGGCUUAACCUAACGAAUUGCCUCGAAUACUGCUAGUCUAGGGAUAGGUAGAGGUUGGGAGUAUGCCUGGGGGAGGGGUAAAAUCCUUUAAUCCUAGGUAGACUAUCGAUGGCGAAGGCACCCAACUAGAACUAAUCCGACGGUGA